rnacentral:tRNA from 1 species
GGGGAAUUAGCUCAGUUGGCUAGAGCGUUUGCAUGGCAUGCAAGAGGUCAUCGGUUCGACUCCGAUAUUCUCCA